CUUUACUGUAGCCUGGUAUUGGGUUUGGGCUUUGACUGCGCAGGAUAGGUGGGAGACUAUGAAGCUGCCCUUGUGGGGGCAGUGGAGUCAUCAGUGGGAUACCACUCUGUCAAGGCUAGAAUUCUAACCGUCUGCCGUUAUCCGGCGACGGAACAGUAUCAGGUGGGCAGUUUGACUGGGGCGGUCGCCUCCUAAAUGGUAACGGAGGCGCGCAAAGGUUCCCUCAGGCUGGUUGGAAAUCAGCCGAAGAGUGUAAAGGCAGAAGGGAGCUUGACUGCAAGAGCAACAACUCAAGCAGGGACGAAAGUCGGCCUUAGUGAUCCGACGGCACUGCGUGGAAGGGCCGUCGCUCAACGGAUAAAAGUUA
rnacentral:rRNA from 1 species